UAAUUGAAGAGUUUGAUCAUGGCUCAGAUUGAACGCUGGCGGCAGGCCUAACACAUGCAAGUCGAGCGGCAGCACAGAGAAACUUGUUUCU
rnacentral:rRNA from 1 species